rnacentral:rRNA from 1 species
GAUGAACGCUAGCGGGAGGCCUAACACAUGCAAGCCGAGCGGUAGAGUUUCUUCGGAAACUUGAGAGCAGCGCACGGGUGCGUAACACGUGUGCAACCUACCUUUAUCUGGGGGAUAGCCUUUCGAAAGGAAGUUUAAUACCCCAUAAUAUAAUGAUUGGCAUCAAUUAUUAUUGAAAACUCCGGUGGAUAGAGAUGGGCACGCGCAAGAUUAGAUAGUUGGUGAGGUAACGGCUCACCAAGUCAAUGAUCUUUAGGGGUCCUGAGAGGGAGAUCCCCCACACUGGUACUGAGACACGGACCAGACUCCUACGGGAGGCAGCAGUGAGGAAUAUUGGACAAUGGGUGAGAGCCUGAUCCAGCCAUCCCGCGUGAAGGAUGACGGUCCUAUGGAUUGUAAACUUCUUUUGUACAGGGAUAAACCUACCCUCGUGAGGGUAGCUGAAGGUACUGUACGAAUAAGCACCGGCUAACUCCGUG